GACGUAGGGCGCGAGCGUUGUCCGGAUUUAUUGGGCGUAAAGAGCUCGUAGGCGGCUCGUCGCGUCAGCUGUGAAAACCCGCGGCUUAACCGUGGGCUUGCAGCUGAUACGGGCGGGCUAGAGUUCGGUAGGGGAGACUGGAAUUCCUGGUGUAGCGGUGAAAUGCGCAGAUAUCAGGAGGAACACCGGUGGCGAAGGCGGGUCUCUGGGCCGAUACUGACGCUGAGGAGCGAAAGCCAGGGGAGCAAACGGG
rnacentral:rRNA from 1 species